rnacentral:rRNA from 1 species
UGCAGUCGAGCGAACAGACGAGGAGCUUGCUCCUUUGACGUUAGCGGCGGACGGGUGAGUAACACGUAGGUAACCUACCUAUAAGACUGGGAUAACUUCGGGAAACCGGAGCUAAUACCGGAUAAUAUUUCGAACCGCAUGGUUCGAUAGUGAAAGAUGGCUUUGCUAUCACUUAUAGAUGGACCUGCGCCGUAUUAGCUAGUUGGUAAGGUAACGGCUUACCAAGGCAACGAUACGUAGCCGACCUGAGAGGGUGAUCGGCCACACUGGAACUGAGACACGGUCCAGACUCCUACGGGAGGCAGCAGUAGGGAAUCUUCCGCAAUGGGCGAAAGCCUGACGGAGCAACGCCGCGUGAGUGAUGAAGGUCUUCGGAUCGUAAAACUCUGUUAUUAGGGAAGAACAAACGUGUAAGUAACUGUGCACGUCUUGACGGUACCUAAUCAGAAAGCCACGGCUAACUACGUGCCAGCAGCCGCGGUAAUACGUAGGUGGCAAGCGUUAUCCGGAAUUAUUGGGCGUAAAGCGCGCGUAGGCGGUUUUUUAAGUCUGAUGUGAAAGCCCACGGCUCAACCGUGGAGGGUCAUUGGAAACUGGAAAACUUGAGUGCAGAAGAGGAAAGUGGAAUUCCAUGUGUAGCGGUGAAAUGCGCAGAGAUAUGGAGGAACACCAGUGGCGAAGGCGACUUUCUGGUCUGUAACUGACGCUGAUGUGCGAAAGCGUGGGGGAUCAAACAGGAUUAGAUACCCUGGUAGUCCACGCCGUAAACGAUGAGUGCUAAGUGUUAGGGGUUUCCGCCCCUUAGUGCUGCAGCUAACGCAUUAAGCAC